AUGAUAAUAAAAUGCUGGGUGGACGUACUGGAGGUCCUCAUCAAUGCCUUCCCAGAACCCUCAAGACCACGAGGGGUAAAGGUGCCUUAGCAAGAUGAGUUAUCUGGUAUUUUUCCCUCUCCACCCUGGUCUUCUCCUGUAACGUGUGGCCGCCUUUUCCAGCACGGCCUCCUGCCUUCCUGGUGCACUUUUUGGAGAACGUGGUGGAAUCAGAGGUUUCUGGCUGACUCGGUGGGUGCUUUGAACCAGGAAAGGACAAGAAAGAGGAUGGGAAGGACUGAUCCACAUUCCCACCAGGAAGUUUAGCAGAACCCCCGCGUGCCACCUGGACCCCUUGGAAGGACCUGGCUCAGGCUGGACCACCUCUUGAGAGGCAGGAGCUCUGGAUUUGAUCAAGAAUUCUUUGCUGAGCAUGGUGCCUCAUGCCUAUAAUCCCAACACUUUGGGAGGCCAGUGUGGGAGGAUCUCUUGAGCCCAGGAGUUCAAGACUAGCCUGGGCAACACAGAGAGACCCCAUCUCUAAAAUAAUAAUAAUAAUAAAAUAAAAAAUUAGCAGGGCAU
rnacentral:lncRNA from 10 species